CUACGGAGGGUGCGAGCGUUGUUCGGAAUUACUGGGCGUAAAGGGCGCGUAGGCGGCGAUGUAAGUCAAAUGUGAAAGUCCUCGGCUUAACCGGGGAAGUGCAUCUGAAACUGCAUUGCUUGAGUAUGGGAGAGGAAAGUGGAAUUCCCGGUGUAGAGGUGAAAUUCGUAGAGAUCGGGAGGAAUACCGGUGGCGAAGGCGACUUUCUGGACCAAUACUGACGCUGAGGCGCGAAAGCGUGGGGAGCAAACAGGAUUAGAAACCCUAGUAGUCC
rnacentral:rRNA from 1 species